rnacentral:rRNA from 1 species
AGCAGCCGCGGUAAUUCCAGCUCCAAUAGCGUAUAUUAAAGUUGUUGCAGUUAAAAGCUCGUAGUUGAAUUUCGGGGUUCUACCGUCGGUCGGGCUACCAAGUCUGUACUGGUGUGUAGAAUUUCUACCUUCUGGGGAACCAUCAUGUUAUUAAUUUAGCGUGGUGGGAAACCAGGACCUUUACCUUGAAAAAAUUAGAGUGUUCAAAGCAGGCUUAUGUCUGAAUACAUUAGCAUGGAAUAAUAGAAUAGGACGGUGGUCCUGUUUUGUUGGUUUCUGAAUCACCGUAAUGAUUAAUAGGGAUAGUUGGGGGCAUUAGUAUUCAAUUGUCAGAGGUGAAAUUCUUGGAUUUAUUGAAGACUAACUUCUGCGAAAAGCAUUUGCCAAGGAUGUUUUCAUUAAUCAAGAACGAAAGUUAGGGAUCGAAGACGAUCAGAUACCGUCGUAG